rnacentral:rRNA from 1 species
CUCUGUGACUCCUACGGGAGGCAGCAGUGGGGAAUAUUGGCACAAUGGGCGCAAGCCUGAUGCAGCAACGCCGCGUGAGCGAUGAAGGCCCUUCGGGUCGUAAAGCUCUGUCCUCAAGGAAGAAUAAAUGACGGUACUUGAGGAGGAAGCCCCGGCUAACUACGUGCCAGCAGCCGCGGUAAUACGUAGGGGGCAAGCGUUAUCCGGAAUCACUGGGCGUAAAGGGUGCGUAGGCGGUUUUUCAAGUCAGAAGUGAAAGGCUAUGGCUCAACCAUAGUAAGCUUUUGAAACUGUUAAACUUGAGUGCAGGAGAGGAAAGUGGAAUUCCUAGUGUAGAGGUGAAAUUCGUAGAUAUUAGGAGGAACACCAGUGGCGAAGGCGACUUUCUGGACUGUAACUGACGCUGAGGCACGAAAGCGUGGGGAGCGAACAGGAUUAGAUACCCUGGUAG